rnacentral:rRNA from 1 species
GACGAACGCUGGCGGCGUGCUUAACACAUGCAAGUCGAACGGAAAGGCCCUGCUUUUGUGGGGUGCUCGAGUGGCGAACGGGUGAGUAACACGUGAGUAACCUGCCCUUGACUUUGGGAUAACUUCAGGAAACUGGGGCUAAUACCGGAUAGGAGCUCCUGCUGCAUGGUGGGGGUUGGAAAGUUUCGGCGGUUGGGGAUGGACUCGCGGCUUAUCAGCUUGUUGGUGGGGUAGUGGCUUACCAAGGCUUUGACGGGUAGCCGGCCUGGGAGGGUGACCGGCCAAAUGGGGACUGAGAUACGGCCCAGACUCCUACGGGGGGACGCAGGGGGGAAUUUUGCAAAAGGGGCGGAAGCCUGAUGGAGCAACGCCGGGUGGGGGAUGACGGCCUUCGGUUUGUAAACCGCUUUCGCCUGUGACGAAGGGUGGGUGGGGGUAAUGGGAAAAGAAGCCCCGGCUAACUACGU